AUGUUUAGCUGAUAAGCUAGCUGAAAGCUGAAAAGCUAGCUGAAAGCUUAUAAGCUAGCUGAUAGCUGAAAGCUGAUAAGCUAGCUGAAAGCUGCUAGCUGAAAGCUGAAAAGCUACGUGAUUGAAACAAAAGUGUUUGGUAGAACUAGCUGUUAAACAAGCUGAAAUUGUAAAAUGACAUAAAAGGACAUACUUGUAUAAUUAUUUUUAUAUUUAACAUUACUUUAUUUUCACAUUAAUACCAAUAUGAUAUUAAUAUUAAAAUUAUUAUCACUUUAAAUAUUUUUAUUAGCUACAGUUAUAUAUCAUCUUAAAAAUAUAAUAUUUAUUUUUAUUAAUAUAAUAUUUAUAAUACUUGUGGUGCGUAGCGGUGUGACGGGAAUGGUGGCGG
rnacentral:lncRNA from 1 species